rnacentral:misc_RNA from 1 species
GUCGGAGUCCUACGCCCGCAGCUUCUUCCUCUGGGGCUUCUGCUUCCUCCCUUUCCUCUGGGCCCUCAAUUGCUUCUAUUUCUGGCCCGUCCUCCGCCGCCGCCGCCUCUCUGCCUCGGCGUCCGCUUCCCUCCACCGCGUCCGCCACUAUGUUGUGCGUUCGGCAGUAGGAUUUUCAAUAUUUGCAGUGCUUCUCACCACCUGGGCCCUCACAUUUUCUAUUGGCGGUGAGCACCUCUUUG